AAUGAACGCUGGCGGCGUGCUUUACACAUGCAAGUCGAGCGAGGCGUCCCGCAAGGGAUAGUCGAGCGGCGAACGGGUGAGUAACGCGUGGAUAACCUGCCCUGAGGUGGGGGAUAACCAGGGGAAACUCUGGCUAAUACCGCAUGAUACCGAGAGGUCAAAGGGGGCUCGCAAGGGCUCUCGCCAUAGGAGGGGUCCGCGUCCGAUUAGCUAGUUGGUAGGGUAAUGGCCUACCAAGGCGACGAUCGGUAGCCGGCCUGAGAGGGUGAUCGGCCACACUGGAACUGAGACACGGUCCAGACUCCUACGGGAGGCAGCAGUGGGGAAUUUUGCGCAAUGGGCUAACGCCUGACGCAGCAACGCCGCGUGGAGGAUGAAGGUCCUUGGAUUGUAAACUCCUGUCAGCAGGGAAAAAGCGAAAUCGGUCUAAUACACCGGUGAGUUGAUUGUACCUGCAGAGGAAGCCCCGGGCUAAACUCUGUGCCAGCAGCCGCUGUAAC
rnacentral:rRNA from 1 species